rnacentral:rRNA from 1 species
UACCAGCACCCCGAGUGGUCGGGACGUUUAUUGGGCCUAAAGCAUCCGUAGCCGGUUCUACUAGUCUUCCGUUAAAUCCAACUGCUUAACAGGUGGGCUGCGGAAGAUACUAUAGAGCUAGGAGGCGGGAGAGGCAAGCGGUACUCGAUGGGUAGGGGUAAAAUCCGUUGAUCCAUUGAAGACCACCAGUGGCGAAGGCGGCUUGCCAGAACGCGCUCGACGGUGAGGGAUGAAAGCUGGGGGAGCAAACCGG